rnacentral:lncRNA from 1 species
AUAUAGUACAAAAUAAAUUCGGGUUCGGCUUCGGGUCGGGUACAGUCAGAAUUCAUAUCCGAAUCCAUAUCCCUUUAGUAUCGGAUAUAUCCAUUUUAUUCGGAUUCGGAUUCGAAAAAAUUUUCGGGUAUCCAUAGUCAUUGACAUCCCUAGCUCCAGAGAAGAUUUUUUUUGGAGUAAACUUCAAAUACCACCAUUAUAAUUUCGUAUUUUUUUUAUUUUAAUACUUUAUAGUUUAAAAUAUAUCAAUUUAUUAUUAUGUGAUUUAAAUCAAAUC